rnacentral:hammerhead_ribozyme from 1 species
AUCCAGAUGACGAGUCCCAAAUGUGACGAAACACAUGUCCUUGAU